GGGGGGGGGUGCUGGGACCGCAUUCUGGGGUCUGACCUCCUGGGCCUCUCUCCUGUGAGACACCAGCCUUGGCCGAGGGACAGGGAACGGAGCCUUCACCCUAAGGGGGAAAUGUCACAGCAGAGCAGGCCACCCGCAGAGCCACACGGAGCCCCACGGGCUGUGAGCGCUAAUGCUGCACAGACACGCCCUGUCUCUGAGCCGCCACCUGCCAGGUGUGCUUCCAGCGGCGCCCUGCCCUCUGGGCUGCCCUGACUGAGCCUUUGGGCGGGAGAGACCACCCUCCCGGAUGGUGGAGAACCGGGGGUGAGAGGUCCUUGCAGGCAGAAUGAGAACAGCUCCGAGCCACCAGUCUCCCUGACGCCCUGGCCUCUGGGGAGGAGGACGGAGGGUGACACCGGCCAGGGCCGCCCCGGGGGACGGCGGUGCCAGCCCGCACGCCGCAGCCCCGGCGAGCGGGCGCGGGCAGGACUGUUAUCCCUGCUGCCGUCAGUCCUCCCCCCCGCCAGCCGGGAGCCGGAUUCCCGGGCCCCCUUUGGCCUCGGGAUCCCGAAGGCCCGGCCCAGUGUCCUGGCCUGACCCCUGCCGUGCAGGUUCCUGGCCGCCGCGGGCACUUCCCCAUAAGGCAGCGGGCUGGCUGUCUGCUGCCUGGCCCGCCUCCCAGGACCCCGCCCCGGCCAGGCUCCAGGUCCAGCCGCGGCGGGGAAAGGUGGGGGGAGGGCGAGGAUGUUUCUCUCAAGAGGUUCAGAUGAGGUGUCCCACUCACAGACCGAGCUGCGCUGUGAAGGGGACUGAGGCAGGAAGGAUUGGUCCCCUUAGAACGGGGCCAUCUGCAUGUGGGUCCUGUGACCAUUCCGCACUAGCAGGGCCCUGCGCCCCUGGUGCUUCCCAACCAACCAGCCACCCCGACCUGCCCAGGACCCCCCAGAGCUCCUCACAUCCCAGACACCAAAGGGCCCCCGGGACCCUCGCCCCUCGCCAUGGCCGGAAUCCUCCCCCUCUGACUGGCCCGUGCCCCGCUGCCCGAGGUUAAAUCUCUCACCUCACCCAGGCGGUCGGGAGUCCAGGCUCCACCGGCCUGAGCUGCUGCCCCCCGUUUCCCACAGAGGCACCCCGACAGGGCAGGAGGGAUGUGUGAAAGCUCUCAGCAUAGGGUGACUCAGGCUCCUCCUUGGGAACUGGCCCAUUAGCACCUCCAAACCAGGCAGCUGGUCGGAGGCCCUGACCGAGUCUCUCCCCACCGCUGGGCCUCAGUUUCCCCACGUGUAAAUGAGAGCUUUGUCCUGGGCAACCGUGAAGACUCUCUGGGGCUCUGACACGGGCUUUGUGUGGAACUGUUCACAGCCUUGGGGUGCCGCCCGCACGGCCCCCGGCCGGAACAGUGCGCAGCUCACCCGCAGCACGCACCUCUGGGACCAGGCCCGGGGUUCUCGCCACCUGCAGAGGCCGACACUUCCGUUACCCCUUCCCCUUAAGGAAAUGGGUUCAGAGGGGCGAGGGCCCAGGCUCAAGGCCACACGAUCAGGAAGAGUCAGAAUUUGAAUUCAGGGCCCAGGCCGGGUAGCUCAGUGGACGCCUGGGUUAGAGCAUCGUCCGGACAGGCCAAGGGUUUGAUCUCGGGUCAGGGCACUCACAAGCAGCACCGAGGAAUGCAUGAAUAAGCGGACCCACAUGUUUCUCUCUCCCUCUCCCUCCCCCUCUCUCUAAAAAUCAAUACGUU